UAAGCAAAACUGGUUCUAAAGAUGAUGAAUAAAGGACUUUGGUACAAGGAAACUCCACCUUUUAAUACAGUGCAAUUUUGGGUCACCAUCUUUCUCUUAAAUAACUUUCCUAUUUGUUGAAGUAAACAUUUUAUAAAGCUCGAUUUCCUAACUCACAAACCUAGUCACACAAGUUUAUCUAGAGACUAUGUGGUCUUCUUUGGAAGAAUAAACCAACAAAUUUGCCUUAAAUGAAGGUUAGAAUGUGACAAAGGAUAUAGAGAGCCAAUGUGGUGAAGUGAAUAGUGCUGUGUGCAGCGUUUAUUAAUUUAUAUUUUGCUCUGUAGUAAAAUCCUGUUAUAGUGAACCCAGUGAUACUGUAAACAUUUCCCGAUGUUCUUAUUCCAAUUGAAGAAAAAAGCACUAUAACAGUGAUUGGACACUUGACAGCAUAAUUCAUCACAAUAAAUUAUUCCAUGGAAACAAGACCUUUGUCAUUUGUUUAAUAUGAAUGUAGAAGAACAUAAAAAUUGUUACACUGCAAUACAGACUAGAGCUUGUGGUCCCGUUUUCACUAGUUACUGGCUGAAAUAGUAAAUACUAGGGAAAGCAAGGCCAAACAUUCUAGUCUGCUCAAAAAUGAGUGGUUAUAGCAGGAGUGUGUCUUCUUUAUUCUCUGCGAUAUCCGUUAAGUCUUUCUCCAGUGUACAUCUUUGCAGAAGGUCGGAUGUCUGAGGGGAGGGAGAAGUGCUUUCUUGCACAUGUCUCAAUGAGUGUUGGGAUUUUGUAGCUCUUUCAUUGGAGAAAAGGGCAUUCCUUGGAGGGACUUGCUGAGUGAGUGGUGGGAGAGUGGAAGUCAGCACUCUGCCAGAUGUGUUGGGAGAACUUUUUUUUUUCCCCUAAUCUGCUCUCGUAUCAGAAAGAGAAGUCAAUCUUUACUAUAUGAACAGUUACUGAAUACAAGAUGCCUUAAUGUCCUUUAUUUUGGUUUGUUUUGAGAUGAACUUUAAUAAAUGCCUAUUUAUCUGCUGUGGUAUGUGUUUAUUUUUGUAAAAUUUUGUAUUGCCUACUGCACUUCCAGGCCAAGUUUGAACUUGCAAAGGAUUUUCUAUUACAAAGAAAGCAUUCUUAAAAAUGGGUGGAAGAAUUCUAUCUUCCCUCUUGGUAUAUGUUGAUGUGUUUUUCAGGGUAGCUGUGUUUGUUAUUAACGUGAGGGUCAGUCAUCCCCCUGAGAGUCAUAGGAGAAUAUCGAUUACCUUGAGUACACGCAGCAAGUCCGGUGUCUCCUGGCAGGAGUGCACUCACUGCACACGCUAGGCACAGCGUUUGGGGAGGGGGAGAGGUGAGGUGAGAGGCACAGGCUGUGGAUGCUGUGAUCGGUGGUGCUGAGAGCCUUUGUAGCCCAUACAGGAUAGCUCCUGUGACUGUCGUAUCAGGACUUCAGUUGAUGGAGUGGAAGUGUUUAUGCUGCUGCCUGUGUCGAGAGAGCUUAUAUGCAACGUACAUAAUAAUACUACAUAAUUGUAUUUAUUUCUGUUUUAGCAAGGGAGGAUACACUAAAUGUAUUGCAAAAUUACUGCUUGUCUUCACAUAUAUAUAUGUAUUUUAAAAUACAUUAAAAAAAUGUUGCACGAAAUGUGACUGCAGGUGAAGGAAAAAAAGUUGACUUUGUUCGUUGUUUUCAGUCUUCUGAAGAUACUGUGAAGAGAUCUGAAAGAAAUACGGUCUGUACUGCUGUCAUCCACCAAGAAGCUGUAGAUUUCACUGCAACACUUGGGUUAAAAUCAAGAAAUGUAUGUGCUUCUUCAAGAAGGAAAAUACUAUUAAUUCUUAAAGAAUUGUUAAUUUUAGAAAGUCAUGAUUUCUUCUGGAACUCACAUUUAGUAAAAGCUGGUAAAGUACACAAGGAAGGACAUUUUCCAAAUGAUUCAGUGUUGCCUUUGACAUAAAUGGGAGGCUCAUGGCUGCAAUCUGAGCAAGAGUGCCUAGCAGGGAGUGAGUAACACUGCGGGGAGAAGUUACUCUGGUAGUAACAUGGUGAGCCCGUAACAGGGAAGGUCAUUUAGCUUUAGUCUCUGCCAGCAUCAGAAUGGGCAGCACUAUCUUCUAUUCACAAUGUCUCCAAGGGACAUCGACUUGUCUUCCCUAGUAUCCUUGGUGUAUAAAUCAAGUUGCCAUGACAAUUUGUCUGAAUAGAUUAGUUAGGGAGGGACAAAUAAGAACCACAUCUCUUGCUUUUUUAGUAUUACUGUGUGUGAUGGCUAACUUGUUAACUUUGUGAAAUGCCUGAUUUUUCAGCUCCUCGUCUGCCUGUAAAUCACAUGCUCUUGUGAAGAUAUCCAGGCAGUCUCCUCUGGUUCUGUUAGUAAUCAUGCACUUGUUUGGAAGUCUACUUUAAAGGGAAAUACUUUGCAUUGGGAAAUUUUGUAUCAGUUCUUUGCUCCUGCGUAAAUUUUGAAAGGUAAUUUGUGUCAUUAAACCAUUUUCUUCUAUGAUGUGAUGCUUGGAACAGGGUCGUUUCAAGAAUCUACGUGAUAUUAUGGAGAGGCCUGGGCACUGACAGCAGAGGGGAGGGAAAAUGUAAUAAUACUUAUCAAGAAAGGCCCAACUGUAAACAGAGAUCAUGACUAUUGAGGGAAUUCUAAACACUGUUGAAAAAUACACCACCACUGCUGCCACCAUUUUUUGAAUAAGCACCCAUUGGCAGUGGAAAAACGGUGGUUUAAGCUGUAUUUCAGUAAGUCUCUCGAAUGUAGGACUACACUGCCUAUUUAAAUUAAUUGAUUUUGCAGUAGAGCUUCAGUUGGCCUGAGAAGACAAGUGUCAAUACUAGUAACAGUAAAGUAAAAGUAGCAAGUGUCCAAAAUACAGGAUGAUUAAAAAGGAAUUUGUCAGUUUAAAAUUUUUCUAUACUGCAUGGAUACCAAUUGCCUUACUGAAGCACUAGUUGAAAGGGCUUUUUUUAAAAAUAGUUCUUUUCUGGAGUGUUUUUGCUGUAACCAUUUGGAAAAUCUUACCUGAUCAAGCAUAGCUUACUUUUUUCUCCUUUUGAAAUUUGUCUCUUCGCUGGGACAAAUUUUAUGCAGAAAAUUGAGGUGGCAAUACCAAUGCUUAAAUGGAAUACAGAUUUUUUUAGCUGAAAUUGUUCUCUUCAGCCUUUUAGUACAUAUUUGAAUUGGUUAAUAUUCCUAAUGCCUUUGAAAGUUAAUUAAUUUUAAGCUAUGCAUUUUUAUUUCUUUCGAAACUUUUCUCAGUGGGCUAUCAUUCUGUGGUUUGUUUGCCUGCUGUUAAGGGAGCCAGGAGUCUCUCUCCCCACCCCCUGCCUUUUUUUCCCUCUCUGUCAGUCCUUGUGGUGCCCUGGAGCACAUCACUAGGCAGUGUACUUUCCAGCCUCAACUUACAGGAGCUAGUAGCGUAGGAUGUAUAGAGUUUUUGCUGUAAAAUUAUUUGGUCUCUCUAAAACACUCUUGAGGAGUGACCUUUUCUCAAAAAUCUGUCCCCCUCUUUUUUUGUUGUUGAUAUGGGUAUCUGAAGACUGCACCAAAAAGAAAAAAAAUAUAUGGCAGGGGCACAAGAACUGUCACUAUUGCCUUGGUAUUUUAUACCUUAUUUCAGAUGAAACUUCAAAGUAGUCUUUAGUUGUAUUUGCAUGAAGUUAAAGACAAUUUCAUUCAGUGCUGUUAGUACCAAGACCAAAGAUGCCUGGUUACACUGUAUGUACCGAAUCCCAGGGAAUAAUGCAAAGUGCUUUUAAGCAGGUUGAGUGGUGACAGCUGUGAUAAUCCGGAGCGUGUACCCAGUAUAUUCUGCUCACCCUGCUGGUCAGCCUGGCACAGCUGACACUGAAAUAAAGCUGCUCAUGUCUGCAGUACUGCUGCAACUGGUUGUAUGUGGGGUGGAUAGAUAAAGUGUGCCCAGCUGAUGAGCGAUAAGGUUUUGGUGAAUAAAAGAACAGUAGGAAAAAGCCAGCAGUUCUACAUAUAGGACCUUCGAUAGAAGUGCAAAUGUAGGGAGACUAUACUCCUUUCAUCUUGGGCAGUACAAGUGGUUUGGGGUUAUACUGUGAACUUCGUGCUGUGAAAAUCAUUGAACUGGUCUGAACCAGAAACCAUUCCCCUUUGGAAAUUGUUUCCUUCAACUAUGUUUUGUGGCUUACGGUGUGGCACCCUAUGCACUCGUAGUUAACAGCAGAAUGAAGAUGGUAAGAAAUGUUCAUUCAGCAGAGAAAAUGCCAGAAGUAUGUGAAUUCUGGGUGAAUUGGAGGAGGAAAUGGAGGGGGAAAAGCAGCCUCACACGCAAAACUAAAAGAGCAUAGGGGAUGAAUUUUCAUUGCUGCAAGACAAUACAACAAACCAAAAGCUAAGCUUAUGGCUGCGGAGCUGUAAAUUGUGGCAUGAGGUUGGGUUAUGGUAAAAGACUAGGACUGUAGAUUUUCUUUCUGUCACUGUCGCCUAUUCUUUCACCAACAUGGAAUUGGCCUCAUCUCAGAAUGGGGCUGCUCUGUGGUUGUGAAAACUUCUGUUUGUCUGGCUGUUGUACUUCACGUUACUCUCUUUCUGAGCCCACGGAAGCAACCUCUGCAAGUUUGGCGUACUCUCAGAAAAAAGCUAAGACAAAACAUAUUGACUAGGCACUGGAAAAUCAUGUUAGAAUAUUUCAUGUGGAUGAAAGAAAGAAUUAACUUUCUCUUCUCUUUCCUUUAUUCAGAGCAAAUUGAGGAGUGACUCCAAAUGGCUGAAUUACACAAGACAUAGGAGAAUCUGUAUCCAGACACCAGUGUCCUAUGUCAGAGUACAAGUUUGUCCAUCUAGUAUAAAGUUUUACAUAGCUAUCCCUUGCGGCUGUGUCUGAGCAUUCAUGCUUGUGUUUCCUACAGUAGUAUGUGUUUUAAGUAUUCAUGUUUACAAUACGGCAGAAAUUUGAAAACUUACUGUGAUUACCUACUGCAUAUUGGUUAUGUUGUGAGAUGAGCAAUGAGAGAGAAAGUCGAAUCGUAACUGCACAGCCUUAGUGCAGAGGAAUGGGGUUGCGUGGGUGUCUCUGAGGGCAUGAUUUCUUCUGCAGUAUCUUCAUUACUGGUAACAUUUGGAAGAUAUCAUUCAAGAAAAGAUAAUCUUUUCCUUCUCAAACCAUUAUCUGUUACAGUGUCACUAAAAGAUGAUAAACAUAGUCUUGUAUGGACUCACUCUUCAAAGCAGGAUCUUACUUUAAAUCAAAAGUCAGUGCAGAUUCUAAUGCGUUGUUAGUGGGCUCUAGUUCUAUCCCUCUUCAUUUGAUGGAAGGAGAGGACAUAUACCGCUUACUUCUCUGGGACCAAAGAAAUCCAAAUGAAUGCUGUCAACGAAGGCUGCCUGGAGUUGGUUAACAGGCAUUACAAUCGGUCUGAAAGUGUUAAAAAGGUGAAGUUCUACAAGACAGAUCUCUGAUAAUCUGUUAUGAACUUGAAGCAGGAGUGGUCAGUGUCUUGUGGGAAGAAACAUAUUCUAUGAGGAGACACAUGCUAGAUAUGAAAAGCAAACACUGAGCUUUGGAUAUCUGUUCAGGAGAGAAGGUGAAAGAAGUAUGGAAGAGGUGAAAGAAGGAGGGAGGAACAGCUUGAGGUCUGGACCCUUAAGAACAUGGCUGGUUACUCUUCUAAAAAAUACAGUUGAUAAACAUACAUUGUUUCUCCACAUGUUAAAGCAUCUUUAAAGUAUUUUAAAAGAUGAUAAAAUAUUUUGGAAGAUUUUAAUGAUAAACCAUUGAGGGGAGGAAAGAACGUCACCGAAAGAGUUAUACACAGGAGUGAAUCUGGAAAUUCUGAUUUGAAACUGUGAGAUUCUUGUAUACCAAGCAAAUGCAAUUUGCACUAUGUGAAGGGAUGGAGACAACUCUAAAAUCUAGCUUCAUCUUUCCUGCCGGAUUCUGAGUAGUGCAGUAUUUUGAGUGUUGCAAGCUUACAAUUUUAUCUGCUGGAAGGAAGGGUAGUGCACCAAAUUUUAUUUAGAUGUACAUUUUGCACAUGCAAAUUUGGCUCAUUGGUAUUUAAAGCUCCAAUUAAAGUGUGUGUCUUGUGAGCAGAGCAGUUAAAAUGUGAUUUGCCAUGCUUGUGCAUAUAUGCACAAUCUUAGUAAGGUGCAUCAUUACAUCAUAUCACUUAAUUUACAGAUCUACAGAGUAUAUCCUCUGUAAGAACAUCUGUCUUAAUUGAGAAAUAUUUAUCCUGUGAUUCAUUCAAAGCUUUGGUUGCCAUCAAAUGCAGCAAAAUAAUCGAAACUGUAAUAUUUUAUUUUUUUUUUUAUUACAACAACCUGAUCACGUUAUGCUUAUUUGUGCUAGAAUCAGAGGCAGAAAGACUUGCAUUAAUGGAAGAAUCCUACCCUUAAUUACACAAUUACCGUAAAGAAAGAAGCUGUAGCUCCGUCUGACAGGCCUGAGGUGAGGGCUUCCAGGUGGUGCCAGGAGUGAUCACCACAGUGUUUUACUAUGCUUGGAAAUGUUGAAGACGUGUCAAGAGAUGAGACAUCAAACACUUGUUGUAAGGUUUUCAGGAUCUUUUUAUUUAAUUUUGCAAUUCGAUUGAAUUGAUAUUUUUAGGGUACAACAAGUGUAUUACUGAUUUUAUUACAUAAAGAAAGGGCAUAUUGUAAACCUAGAAUGCAAAAGAAGAAGCGAUAGUGAAGCAAAUUCUUGACUGAUACACACUAUAAGAAACCUGUUAGGUUGGCUUCUGUGCUGUGGUUAAAUCAGGGUUGUAUUUGUCUCCUUGUGCACAUAUUCUUUUUCUCAUUGCUUUCAGGUUUUGUUGGGUGAAAGUCUGCUGAUCCUGUCAUCCCAGGAAUAUUUUGAAAGAAAAAACUUAGAAUUAAUUAAAGGUAUAAUUGGAAGAAUGAAACUACCUGAAAUAAUGCAAAAGCAGAAAAUGUAGUGUAUUGCAUCUCACGGGGAAUCAAAAGAGACAGUUCUGACUGAAAAAGUAAUGCAGAUGGAUGACAAUCAGGCAGGUGUUACUCAACACUUUUUUUGGAACUGGCACAUCAUCAAAAGAAAAGUAUAACUGGAAUUCACUCUAACAGAGAAUCAGUCUCAAACAUUUCAGAUGAGCAGGAUCUGUUUGAUGUGUCAUCUUCAUUCCUCAAGCAUAAAUCUGCCACUGAAUGUGACAAAGAACUGCAGCUUCUUAACCAGUGAUACAGACAGGAUGAAAAUGUUUCAGGUAUUUACAGACCGCAGCCUACCAGGUUCGUGUGGAGUUCCUUCUGUUCAGAAGUUGUUUGGUAAAGGAAUAAACAUGGUUUUCCUUCCAGUCUGUUAAAGAGAUGAAUUUAUUCCUCACUAAUCUGAAAGUGGUUCACUUCUUUAAUCACUGGAAAUUCUAUGACUAAGCACUUGCAUGAAAGAAAUACUAAGUCUGAAGAGUUUCCUUCAACAUUCUAUCCCUCAAAUGAAUAGUAUAUUUAUUUAAAUGAGCAGCAGUGCUCUUCUCAUUAUAAGUGCAGCAUUAGAAGGUAUCAUCUGAAGGAAGAUUUCCGCUGAAUCUUUAUUAAUGAUGCUAGUAAUACUAUCAUCAAUAGGCAUAUGAGAUUUUAUCCCCAUCUUAGAGAUGGAGUAACUGAGCCCAGCUGAGAUAUACAGUUACUAAAGCAGAAGUAUAAGUAAAGACUCCAGCCUGUAUCUGUCCAUCUGCCAAACUGUGCAGCAAAUUGGUAGGCUAGAGCUGCACCUACCUGCAGUAAUGGUAUUCUUUUAUCAUGCUUUAUGAUUAGAGCAGCUUCUUAAUUUUCCAGUAUGUUCUCACAGCUUGUCUUUUACUCAUCUCAAUAGCACAUUUUACAGGGAUAUUUUCAGCAGUGAUCCUGCACAGAGGCAGCAAGCUAAGAGCAAAUGGCUGAGCUUUUCCCAGAAACUACGUAAGAUAUUUCAAAAGUAUGCUCCGCUUGCUCUCGGGGAGGAAGCAUCCACUGAGCUUGAAACAGCAAGAGGUUGAUGGAGGAUUCAAGAUUCAGGGCUCUCCAGAAGAUCACUGUUACAGCUUCAAGAGGAAGACCUGUGACUUAGAAUACAACCUGUCAAGCAAGCAGUCUUCAAAAUGUUUUGACAUUCACCUGGUGAAAACAGAAGUUAAUGAAAAGAACUGUGAAGCACAUCAGAAUAUCACAGAAAGCAUCCACGCGUAGGGUUGCAGCAAUUACUUUAUUUGCACCUGCUUCAUUAAUCAUCUGGGCUAUCAUCUUGUGUCAUUCAGCUGUAUUCCAGAUACGAAUACCACUGAGAUAAUACUCUGGAAUGCAAAGACCACAAGCUUGUGGCAAAGUUACCUUCAGUUUGUCUUGGAGACUCUGUUAUCUUACAACCUUUGGAAAAAGAAGUAUGUGAAGAAACAGUCAGGUCUUUACACUGUUCCUUGCCAAAGUAAAGAGUACAGGUUCCAUAAGGAAAGGCUACUGCUUGGCCUCCCUGAGAAUGGGGACCUCUUUGUCACUGGGAAUUUAGAGGCUGCAUUUGUAAAGGGUUGGCUGAGCUGAAAUACAAAGAAAACUCCUGAGCAACCUAUUCUGGCAGGCCAUCUUCUGUCAAAGGCCACCAGGGACCUGUACCAAAGGCUUCACCCGAAAGGAGAAUAAGCAAGGGAGCAACAGGUGACAACUUUGACUUCUGUAGCGCUGCAGAGCUGGAGCUGAAACAGUGGUUGUGCAGGCCAUGGAUUUGCGCUGAAAUACAAAUUAUUGGAAUAAAUAAAUGAGGUCAUUGUCACCUUCCUUAAAGCCAGAGCGUCCUUGUCUUCAAGUGGGGAGAUCAAAAAGACGCAGGCGAGACUGAUGUACAAUUAUUACAUUCCUUCAGCUGCAAGAAUUAGUGACUGUAGCUGCCUCAGAAGUGGGAAGGAGGAACUGUGACUCUGCUCACUUAAAUGCUAUUUAAGCAGCAUUACUAUCUCUCCAGACAUUGGUCUAAACCAGUGGUUUCCAGUCUUUUUUUCCAUCUGUAACCCCGAAGUUUUGUCCACUGGCCAGGCAGUUCUGGGUGAAUGGAAGAACUUUGGACUCCAUGGGAAAGGUGCAAGGAAACUAAGGCGGAGAAGGAGACUGGAGAAGAAGGUGAAACAAGAAAUAGAAAAAAAGGAACUUACUAGUGAAAACAUAAUGCCAUUGCUUAGUACUUGCUUAGUGGAGAUGAAAAGUCUCGAUGCCCCGGGCGAUUGGGCCAUUCAUCACAUCCUGUGCUUUUAAACGUGCCUGAGUUGUGGAUCCGGAUUUUGCUGGGAAGAGAACGGUCAGCUUUCCCCAUGGACUUCGUGCAUCUGUGGUAGCAUAACCUUCAACUCAGUUCAGCUCACUUUUGCCAGGGGAACGCACGGAACACCGGCGAUGCUCAGCGUGUGCCCUUAGGUAGGGUGGAUCUGAUGGCUCUGCUCUCCCUCCUGUCCUGCUGGCUGAGAGUAAAUACUACACUCUUCAAACGAUUUUCAGAAAGAACUUUCAGGAGAAAAGGUUUAAAAAUUAUUGAAAAAUGAGCCAUAUGUGUACUGCUUGGCAGUUACAGAUGAUGCCAGUAGAAUCGGGUUUGGAGUCAUGAUGGAAAGAUGGGUAAACUCCUGAAUAUGUUCCUCUUUUGUUAUUACAUGAAUGUAAUACUCCACAAUCAUGAAGUCCCUCUACCGAAUCACUUACUCAGAAAGGAAAAAGGAGGAAGCUGGCUAAUGCUGAUAAGGAUAAAAGUUUGGGAUCCAUUUGAACACCAGCAUACCAUUACUCCAGGUUAUGAAGGCAUACGUCACCCGCAAACUCCAGCUGCUGGAGGAAAGGGCAAAAGCAGUCCUACUUGCAGGUCUGUAAAACCAAUUAUUAUUCUGGUAAUGCUUCUACAAUUCUAUUUCUCAUCCUUCUCCAGUAAUAGAUGGCACAUUACCAUUAAACAUUUACAAGGCAAAAUUUCCAAGUAGGCACUCAUGUAGGUAUAUAGUGGGCUGUAACUCUAGUAUGGUUUUGAUGUUAUCUUAGUUUUAUUUUUUAUUUGAGGAAUGAUAGGUACUUUCUCCUUUUAAAUGGGAUAUUGGGAACUUAAACUUUGCUAACUGAUGAGGUCAAAAGGAGCCCCAGAAUAAUUCUGUGGGUGUCCAGUAGCAGCCGACAGACUAGGGGGCAUGCAGCCCCACCUUUGGCCAUGCACUGGACAGCGGGAUCAACGAUCCCAGUUAGCAAUCCCUCCCUGUCUUGGGCACCAGGCAUGGGUAAAGCGUCCCUCAGGCAACAAUUAAAGGCAUUCUUCAAGGCCUGAAAAGCACAUAGUCCAGAAAGGAGAGGGUCAAAAAUAGUCAAAGAGCAAGAAAGCAGAACUAAGGAAAUAACAGUACCAGAUAGCCUUCAUGCAAAUAGCUGAAAUUUGUUUACCACAGGUUCCCUUUAUUCUAGGCUUUCAGUCUUAUAUGCAUUUCCACCACUCAAAAUAAUAACCAGCGAGAAAGCAGGAUCUCCAUACAAGCCUGAAAGGGACACAUAGCUUUCGUGGCACAAGUAUGAAUGCUGGGGCACCUGUGGGCAAAUGAAUUAAUUGCAAAACCUCUGUCCAUCUCUCUCCUCUCUCCUUAAAAUAAACAAACCAACCGAUAGCGUUCCUCCACUGCCAGCAAACGCAGCUCCUGUGGUAACCUCACACAGUACCUGUCUGGGCUGCUGUCUCCCAGAUGAACCCUGCUCUAUUCCUCACUAGAAGGUUACAGUUGCAAGUAAAUUGCAGUCUUUUUCCCCAAAAGCAUGAAACAGAUUUACGCACCUCGAAGUUGUCAGAUUUUUAAAUUCAUACUGCAUAUAAUUGCGUAGCAUCCAGUUUGCCUCCCACAAAAAAACCUCUGCCUCACUGAGACCGUGCAGGGGCAAAAUGAAGUUUGGUGUGGUAUCUAUAAGCCUACCAUUUCCUAGCCUGACUGGUGACCUAAAUAAAACUUUCAGUAUUAGGUUUUUCCAAGAUGUAAUUUAUACUAUGGCUGUCAGGAGUUAAGAUAGCAGUUGCCAUGGAGCUUUAAUCUUUUUUUAGGCUUUAGUCAAAGGAAGCUGGAAAUCUGUAUGCUGGGUAGAACCCUGCUCAACAGAAUUAUAUUUAAAUUGGGACAGGAUUUUAUCCUAAUUUCUCUACUGAAAGUUAUUCUCAAAGGUUCUAGAAUUCUUUUUAUUUUAUUCUGUUUCUCAGCAGGAGAUUAAAGUUUCCUUUUAGGCUUCUUAAAUCACACUACAUUCAACCACAGAAGCACCCAAGUUACUUCCCCUCCACUCCUCCAACUAUAAACUGUAACUUUCUACUAGUCUUAGUAGAAACGUGCGCAGCUAAUCACUGUAGUGAAACUCAUUCACUAGUUUUUCCAUUUUCAGUGGAGGUAUUCUGUAAGUAUGCAGAAGCGAAACUUUGGGGAGGAUUUUAUUUUCUAUGUGCCCACUAAGCACUAAUCCCCCUACGCUGGAAAACAGGCCUUUGGAACAGGAGAAGUAAUUACACUUUGAAUCUGUGUGUAUGCUACUUAUAACCUACUUGACGUAUAUUUCAGGAAAAAAAGCAGCAUGCAACUCGUGAAGUGCAUCCCCAAGUACAAAAUUGGCCAUGCUAUAGUGAGUGAUGUUCUGCUAGAACACAGCUGCAGCACAACAGAGAUGCAGUCCAGUGUAAUACUUGCCGUUAAAACAUUGCUGACUUAAAAUUGAAGUGGCCCUACCAGGUAAACCAAAGGAAAGCAGAAAUAGCUGGGGAAAAAAAUUGCAAAAUUUGUCAAAAUAAGCCUUUAGAACAACUGCCCUACCCCGACCAAAAAUUAGAAAGGGUUCAGAUGCAAUAUGAGCUUGAUCGUAAGAGGCGACUUGGAUUCGAAGGCAAAUGACAGCUUCAUUUAAUGAAAAAUUUGGUAGAAUUUUCACUAAAUAGAACUGUUUACUGGCCAGCUGUAGUGGAAAUCCAUAAUCCUAGAGUUGUUCCAAAGACUGCAGGGUAAUCAGGAAAUUGGCACAAGAGAGAAUUUAAAACUAUUUCAAAUCUUUUGUGGCAUGUAUUAUAAAAAAGGCAUGAUAACAGUAAAAAAUAAACAUCUUUUUCUUUCUAAGAUGUCCAAGUCUGUGGGACUUGAACACUUGCACAGUAGCAUCUGGUUUUACCACUGACAGUCAAAUGUCUUGCCUAACUAGCACUGGACAGAAAAACUAUUCUUGUGGGUUUGAGUGACAGCCCUGCUCAUCUUGAGAGGCUGUCCAGCUGUCCCUUCCACUGAAAAAACACUUCUUUGCAAGGUAUCUGCUAGCAGCCAGGAAGAACCUAAAGAAAACUGUACUGUCUGAAAAUGAAAGAAACAAGGAGCAUCUCCAAUCUCUUGAAGACAGCUAUUCAGAGAUGGAAUUGUUCACUGUGCAAAGCUAUGCACCUGUGAAUAGGAUUCAGAAAGCCGUGACGGUCAAGGAUUCUGCUUGAAGUAGCUCAAAAGAACUUUUGAGAAGUGAGGUGAAUAAGCUAAGAAGUGCCUGGCUUCAAGAACAGAUGCUUUACUUUGAAUUGCAGGGAGAUACCCGUCUCCCUUCAAGGUUUUCAGCCUUUCUUGAGUUAGGCUCCUAUAGGAAACUUUCACAAAACAGCAAAUGUUACUACUUCCCUAACCUCAUCUGACUGGUCUAGCGCAGACCUUCCCAACACACAUCUUGGUUAAUUUGUCGGGUCUGUGGCAUUCCACAGGUCAAACCACACUUGGCCUGCCUCAAGUCUCCUCUGCAGACAGCCAGGGUUGCUAGCCCUAACAAAGAUAAAUAUGCUGCUUCUAAACUGUAGCCUUAACAAGUUGCUUUUCCUUUGCCCACAACAGAUUUCUUGGCUGAGACCGAGUAGACAGGCUGUCUUUCAGGACUAAUACAUCUGCCAUUUGAGUUUAAAGCAGGCUUCAGCAACAGCCACCACAAUAGCAUUAGCUUUGAAAUACGCAACAGAACAACUUCAGACAUAUUACCUGAUGUGAUAAAGUACCUUUGCGAUUUGCAGGAGCUUUUAUCACUGCUCUGUUAGAUUCAGGUAUAUGGGGGGGGGGGGGGGGGGGAAGUAUUUAAAGCAAGUUGGGCUUUUAUAUGAAACCUGCACUACUUUUUCCAGUUUGAGGUGCCAAUGUCAAAGACUUGCAGAGCUACAGGAGAUGAGACCUCUUAGUAAAAGAAAUAUAUGUGCAGAUAAGAGGGAGAAAGAACUCUAAGCCCUUAACUUGCUGGUGUGGCAAUCGCUGUGGUUUUGUCCCUUUAGACUGGCUGGGUUUUACAGGAGACUGAACAGGGUGCAGUUCAGCACAGCUGAGUAAAGAAUAAAAACCCAGAUUAAGACUUUUAAGAAUCAGAUCUGUUUGCAGUCAGAAAUGGUAGAAGCCACAGAAGUGCCAAACUGCUAAUUUUAAAGAAUUAAAUCAGACAAACUGUAGUAGUUUCCUUCAAGCUGAAGUUAGAGGCUUUUAAAUGAAGGGGGGGAAAAUAUCUUCAGAGUUAAAAAAUAAUACCUUCUUUACAAAGGCCCACUUCAGUGUUAAAAGAACAUCCAAAAUGGAAAAUCCUUAGGUAAAUUCAGGCAAGAAUGGGGCAUUUCACUUAUUGUUCUGUACCAGUUUCAAGACUUGUCAGUACCACAUUACCAUUUCUGGAUGUAUAGAUUAGUUAAUGCUUGGCAGGGAAAUACAGUUAAAACUAGUUUAGAUACAGAGGUAUUAUCACUGUGCUUUUUAGCAAUGAACAGGUAUGAAUGUACAACAGCAUGCAGAAGACUACACUACAAGAAUUUGUACCUAUCAUGGCCGGUAAUUAACUGUAUUUGGAUUCACGCAGCUUACACAACAGAAUAAAAAGUAACACACGGCAACUGGAGGAAACCUGUAUUAAUCUUGUGUACUAUUCCUGAGCUGGCAGAAUUCCAGAGUCCAAAAGAAAUGCAUCAACUACUGGGAGGUAGCAAGAUGGCUUUUCGUACGUAUACACAAAUAUUAUUAAAUUGCUCAUUUUGCUUUCAAAACA